rnacentral:rRNA from 1 species
GUGAAAUUGUUGGUAAAGGAAAACGAUUAAAAGUCAGUCAUACCAACGGGAAAUCAACCUUUUGAGUUCGGUCUUGUGGGGUUUGAAGAGUUUCAAAGCCUUCGGAUUUGUGAGAUUGGGGAUCUCUCGGUGCACUUUUCGUACGGUUAGUCAACAUCGGUUUUAAUCAUUAUAAAAUGGUUGAAGGAAUGUAACUUUGAUUUCGAUCGAGGUAUUAUAGCCUUUGACAGAUGUAAUGAUCAAGACCGAGGAUUGCAACGGAUACCCUUCAGGGGCUAUUCGUCUGAUCUCUGAUACGUUGCCUUGAUGUUGAAAGCUUGCUUAUGAUGUUAGGGUAUUACGGUCAAAAGGUUAGAGCGAAUUACAUUCGUUAAGGAUGUUGACGUAAUGGCUUUAAACGAC